UGGGGAAUAUUGCACAAUGGGGGGAAACCCUGAUGCAGCGACGCCGCGUGAGCGAUGAAGUAUUUCGGUAUGUAAAGCUCUAUCAGCAGGGAAGAUAAUGACGGUACCUGACUAAGAAGCUCCGGCUAAAUACGUGCCAGCAGCCGCGGUAAUACGUAUGGAGCAAGCGUUAUCCGGAUUUACUGGGUGUAAAGGGAGCGUAGGCGGUCCUGCAAGUCUGAUGUGAAAACCCGGGGCUCAACCCGGGACUGCAUUGGAAACUGUAGGACUAGAGUGUCGGAGGGGUAAGUGGAAUUCCUAGUGUAGCGGUGAAAUGCGUAGAUAUUAGGAGG
rnacentral:rRNA from 1 species